UUAAUCCACUCCUUCAAAUCCUUGAGCAUUUUCAACUGCCAUAAGUAGCUUCUCUCGCAAAUCUUCAAAAGAUUCAUAAAGAGGUAGCGUCUGAAGCCAACCCUGCCUGUACCAAAUUUUGACAGGAACCACGAAAUGGAUACUGCUCCCAUCCUGCCUUUGCUACUACUCUGCGGUAUGAUCAAGGAGUCAUUGGACUUCUCUGUGACAACGUACCCUUACCUGUAAUGUUUGCUUGUCAUUUCCUGGGAAAUUGUGGGGGGAUUAUAAAGUUUUCCUAACGUGAAAGGCACUGGGAAGCCAUUAGGUGUUUGUGGUGGAAUGGACUGCAACCUGAACAAGGGUGCUCAGCCAGCGAGACGGACAUGAUGACAAUCUGUAAGCUCUUGGGACUAUCCCCAGCAGGCACUGAGGAUCCUACUCCCAAACUCAGCACAACAUUUAAGCAUUCAGUACACUUUCUGUGCUGUGCUUCACGUGCUCCGAUUUGGAUCGUGUUGCAAGUACCUUACAUGACCAGAUUCUUAUGUAUUUGAUAUGGGGAAAAGUCUUCUAGCAGAAGGGAUUCAAAUUACUUCCAUUUUGUCUGAAUGUCAGUUUAAUUGGCCAGUGCUUAAAGCAAUUUGCAGGCUACUAUGUGGCUUCAAAAAUUAUAGUUAACAUUUGGUAUAUAUGGGUAGCAAUUUCUUCAAAUGUAGUAUAAAAUAAAGUGGGGAAAGCUAUCUCUUCUCUUUAACAUGCAAGCAGUUACUAGAAGAAAAGUCCUGAGUUGAAAGGGUUGCUUGGAAUACAAUAAAAUAGCAUUAAAAAGUCUUUAUCAGAAAGGCCAUGAUGGAAAGAGUUUAUUUUGGAUUCAUUUACCUGCAUUUAUUGCAGAACACUUACACCUACUUAUUCUAUUAACACAGCCUUUCACACGUCCGUGAGAAGGCAAAACAAGCGUUGUUUAGAAACAGUAAGAGGCAAUGGCACCGUGCUGAAGUUGAGCCCUGCUACCUCCUGGAAUUUUGCAUGUUACAUUCUGCAGCUGGGUGUCAGCAGAUAAAUGCUAACUGUUCUUUGCCUGUUAAAUACAUACCUACACAUACACAGAAACACGUGUGUAGGUUUCAGAGUAUCCCAGUUUAUAAAAAGCUGUAUGAUCCAGAGCUAAAAUAUGUUAGAGAUAAGCAGAGUCAUCAGUUUCCCCCUUUCUUGGCAGUGUAACAAUACAGAAAAGCUAUACAAUUUUAUGC